CAGAGAGGCAGAAGCCCAGGGAGGAGCAGAAGAAGGGUGUUGAAUUCAGCAGAUCUUCCUGGUGCGACAGCAGCCAUUGACCAAAGGCCAGAUGGAGAAGCGGACCUUCCCGGCGCUUUAGUUGUGCAGUGGUGCCGCCCAGCAUUCUGCCCCAGAACACUGCGCUGCUUCUGAAAAGGAUGCAGGCAGCCAAUGUUACAACAGAAACCCCUAUUUAUGGACUCAACACACGAGGUGUACCUGAACCAAAAUAACGUACAAAAGGCUCUUUGGUUCUGCCCAAGGUUGUGGCCAAAGGAAUGGCCCCUUUCUCCUGGAUGAGAAGCCACCAGGUGGAGGAGGAGGAG
rnacentral:lncRNA from 1 species